rnacentral:miRNA from 1 species
AUCGACAUUGUGCCAAAUCGCGAGCCACCGUUUCAUUUUUUUGGGGUAAACGGAGAUCUCCAAGUCAUGCUGAUAACUGAGCGGUAAGUGAUUUUUUCAUUCGAACAUUCUAGAUUUGGAUUCCUUAUCUCUCAUUUCUUGCCAAGGCGACUGUUACAAUUUCCCACCUUAUAUUGUGGCCUAGAAACCUGUACAGUUGGAGCAAUAAAUGAAAACUCCUGAAGCGUCUCUCUGUCCCGCUCAUCCUGUUGUUCCAAUAUUCCAACAGCCCAGUGAUUAUUGAGCAAUGCGCAUGUGCGGGACAGAUUGUAUGCUGCCAUUUGUGCCGCGGUCUCAAAACACGUUUUAUCAACUUUAGACAAGAUUUAAGAUCUCAUAAAUAUGAAUAUAAUUUCAGAAUGUACGAUGUCUUCAAGGAAAGAGUGCGCACCAAAGGAAAGAAACAAAUGUUCACCAUGAUGGAGAACAUGGCAAUGGCGCUCA